AUAUAUAUAUAUAUAUCGCAUAAGUAAUUAUACUAAUUUUGUAUUUUCAAAAAAAAUGCUCUAAUGGCUGAAAAUGUGUGAAUAUUCUCUUUUAGUUAUGUCUGAGUUCAAAAUGUAUAGAUUCUCAUGAUCAAGGCUUCAACUUGGUUCCAGCUGCAAUAUAUCAUUUAAAAAUUUAGACUUCUCACACAGCUUUGUGUUACUUCUAUGACAUGUAUGCAAUGUCUGCACUCACUUUCACUGGGAACAUGUUUUGUUAUCACUGUACAAGACAGAGUUACUACUACUUUAAACAGGAGAGGUCUAUUUGUUUGAAUGCAACUAUGACUCUGUUGUUUUACUCUGGAUUAAACAGAUAAUUACUAUAAAAUGUUGCACAUGGAAUAAAUUGUUUUGUUAAAUUAAU